rnacentral:rRNA from 1 species
UGGGGAAUUGUUCACAAUGGGCGCAAGCCUGAUCCAGCCAUGCCGCGUGAGUGAUGAAGGCCCUAGGGUUGUAAAGCUCUUUCACCGGUGAAGAUAAUGACGGUAACCGGAGAAGAAGCCCCGGCUAACUUCGUGCCAGCAGCCGCGGUAAUACGAAGGGGGCUAGCGUUGUUCGGAUUUACUGGGCGUAAAGCGCACGUAGGCGGACUUUUAAGUCAGGGGUGAAAUCCCGGGGCUCAACCCCGGAACUGCCUUUGAUACUGGAAGUCUUGAGUAUGGUAGAGGUGAGUGGAAUUCCGAGUGUAGAGGUGAAAUUCGUAGAUAUUCGGAGGAACACCAGUGGCGAAGGCGGCUCACUGGACCAUUACUGACGCUGAGGUGCGAAAGCGUGGGGAGCAAACAGGAUUAGAUACCCUCGUAGUCCCUGAGCGGGCUGGCAAGGCGCAU